rnacentral:rRNA from 1 species
UACAGAGGUCUCAAGCGUUGUCCGGAUUUAUUGGGCGUAAAGAGCGUGUAGGCGGCCAGGUAGGUCUGCUGUGAAAACUCGAGGCUCAACCUCGAGACGUCGGCGGAAACCAUCUGGCUAGAGUCCGGAAGAGGAGAGUGGAAUUCCUGGUGUAGCGGUGAAAUGCGCAGAUAUCAGGAAGAACACCAAUGGCGAAGGCAGCUCUCUGGGACGGUACUGACGCUGAGACGCGAAAGCGUGGGGAGCGAA